ACUCUUGUUUCAAAUCUUCCUGGAGUAAUGCUCCAACAUAGGUGACCUUUUCAGGUUCUUCUGUAUACAAUUGGAUAGGAACUAAAUCUUCGGCAGGCUUGCCUCUCCUUUCUUCCUCUUCUCGGACAUCAAGGUCCUCUAUGAGUAAUACUUGCCCCCCGGCUCCUCCAGAUCUUAAUGCCCCAAUAUAACAACUUCGGGCCAUUUUCUGAUCUCCUAAUUCUUCCCCAAUUCCGUUCCUAGUCGGGAAUUUGAUCUUCAUGUGGUAAGUAGAUGGGAUUGCUUUAAAAGCAUGUAUUCCAGUCCUCCCAAGGAUGGCAUUAUAG
rnacentral:lncRNA from 1 species